UUCUCGCAUCGAUGAAGAACGCAGCGAUAUGCGAUAAGUAAUGUGAAUUGCAGAAUCCAGUGAAUCAUCGAAUCUUUGAACGCACAUUGCGCCCGCCAGCAUUCUGGCGGGCAUGCCUGUUCGAGCGUCAUUUCAACCCUCGACCUCCCUUUGGGGAAGUCGGCGUUGGGGACCGGCAGCACACCGCCGGCCCUGAAAUGGAGUGGCGGCCCGUCCGCGGCGACCUCUGCGUAGUAAACCAACUCGCACCGGAACCCCGACGUGGCCACGCCGUAAAACACCCAACUUCUGAACGUUGACCUCGAAUCAGGUAGGACUACCCGC
rnacentral:rRNA from 1 species